rnacentral:rRNA from 1 species
GGCGUGCCUAAUACAUGCAAGUCGAGCGAACUGAUUAGAAGCUUGCUUCUAUGACGUUAGCGGCGGACGGGUGAGUAACACGUGGGCAACCUGCCUGUAAGACUGGGAUAACUUCGGGAAACCGAAGCUAAUACCGGAUAGGAUCUUCUCCUUCAUGGGAGAUGAUUGAAAGAUGGUUUCGGCUAUCACUUACAGAUGGGCCCGCGGUGCAUUAGCUAGUUGGUGAGGUAACGGCUCACCAAGGCAACGAUGCAUAGCCGACCUGAGAGGGUGAUCGGCCACACUGGGACUGAGACACGGCCCAGACUCCUACGGGAGGCAGCAGUAGGGAAUCUUCCGCAAUGGACGAAAGUCUGACGGAGCAACGCCGCGUGAGUGAUGAAGGCUUUCGGGUCGUAAAACUCUGUUGUUAGGGAAGAACAAGUACAAGAGUAACUGCUCGUACCUUGACGGUACCUAACCAGAAAGCCACGGCUAACUACGUGCCAGCAGCCGCGGUAAUACGUAGGUGGCAAGCGUUAUCCGGAAUUAUUGGGCGUAAAGCGCGCGCAGGCGGUUUCUUAAGUCUGAUGUGAAAGCCCACGGCUCAACCGUGGAGGGUCAUUGGAAACUGGGGAACUUGAGUGCAGAAGAGAAAAGCGGAAUUCCACGUGUAGCGGUGAAAUGCGUAGAGAUGUGGAGGAACACCAGUGGCGAAGGCGGCUUUUU